rnacentral:lncRNA from 1 species
CGUCGUUAUAUCAAUAUAUGUACUGAAAAAUAAACCAGGUAACCGACCAUUCACCACGGAACCCUGUUCUCCACCAUUACUUUUCAAAUAUGGUCGCAUUUCCCCUUUUAGAUAGUUUGAAUUUAGUAUAAUUUGAAAAUAUUCCACUGAUUUAUUCCUAUAGAAAUACUGAAUAGGUCGCAUGUUCGGGUAGACUUUUCUUGUUCCGAAUGCUAUAGCUAGAUUAUAUAAUCGGUAUGUAUCCACAUGAGACAAAACUGAAAAUAAAAAAAUGUUUUGCUGAAAUUGGAUUACUGAAAUAAUAGUUUGCAAAACGAUCAACUAACAAAUUGUACCCGAUACUUUUUUUCUUCAAAUCAUUUCAUUUGAGAUAAUAAUGAACAGUUUUUAAUACAGAAUUGUCCUAAAACCUUUUUUUUUUUUUACAUUCUUGAUGAAAAUUUUACCAGUUAGAGGAGAUAAGUAUUUAUGUUUGCUUUUUUUAAUAACAAAUACGCACGAUCUCAUUACUAAAAAAAAGCCCGAACUUUUGUUUAUUUGUGUUUUUAUUAUUAAAAGAAUAGUUCCAAUUCCGUGUUAUUACUAUAUCGAAUUUUUUUCUUUUCGUAUUUAGUCUUUUUAUUCGUUUGUUGUCGGUUGUCUUUGCUUUUAAUUAUUUUCAAUACAGCGUAGAAUUACUUACACGUUUUAAAACUGAUCACAUGGCUAUGCGAUACAGUAGUCGUAACAAAAAAUCUUCCAUUCAUCCGCUGCUGUCGACAUGCACACAAAACCUUACAUUGAACUGAUGAUGCAGAUGGCAACUCAAAAGGAAACGGCUUGUUUAGACACCGACCACUGACAUUGUAACAGCGGAGCUGAUUCUUUACUUUGACAAAGACGAUAAAAUGUUUUUCAUCUGUAAAGAUAGUAUUAACAUCUAACCUGUAAAGCGACGGUGGUUGGCGAUGGACAGUUAAUGGCAAUGUACCCUAAAAUCAAACAAAAUAUAUAUGGUUAUUCUCAUUAACAAAUCAACAUAGAAAUGUCUCUCAAUUGGUAAUUUAUAAUCAACAUGACACCCUACGUUUUCGUCCACUUCUGUUCUACUGCAUGAAGGAGCUCUUUAUUUUCUAUAUUAUGAUUUUUUGUCAAUUUGUUUUUUUCAUGUGUAAAUUUUUUACUUCAAUAAUGAUUUUUUUUUUCAUUCGUUCAAAUGAUAACAUUCUUCAUAAAGACUUGUCAGAUUUUUUUCAGAGGAAAUUACCCCUACUUAUUUCAUAUUCUCAAUACUGGUUGUCCCACUUGCAAAAUCUACCUACUUUAUUAUUGUUAGUUAAAUUGUUUUCGUCUUAGUGCAUUAAAUUAUUGCAACUGGGCUAGCUAUCUUUGAGCAAGCAACAAUGAACAAAUCAUCAAUCAGUCAUAUUAGUCCGGCGGCUACAAGCAUAAUUUAGACGAAUUGUGCACAUCCUGCUACAAUCAUGAAAUUUUGCAAAGACCUUCCUCAACUUAUUACUCUUUUAUUUCAGAUAGGGAGGCAUUUGAAAAAAAAUGUCUCACUUCCGGUAAAAUCCAAGAUGGCGGACAUCAUACUUGAAUCAGCCUAAUAUCGAAGGCUAGUAUGUGAAAAAGGUGUUAUUAGCAGGCUACUAGCAUAAUAUUUGGUACAAAACUUUGUUAUGUACUACUUUUGGAUAUAUUAUAUAGAUUAGAUGUCUUCAAAAACCCUACUUCCGGUAAAAUCCAACAUGGCGGACAUUAUACUUAAAUAAGCUUAUUUUUUUAGGGAGGGUAAUUGAAAUGUGUUUUAACAUAUUGCUACAUUGUGCAGGAACCUUUCUAUGGUGCUUCUGAUAGAUACAAUGUAUAAGACAUAUGUCUUAAAAACCCUUACUUCCGGUUAUAUCCAAAAUGGCGGACAUAGAACUAUCAAUGUAUUAUUCAAAUAUUCAACUUUUUUCAAAAUGUAAAGAAAUUUUAGUUUUUUGUGCUGGUCAUUAAAUUUUUGGCUUUAAAUUAUAUCACUAAAACCGCUAAUUCUAUCAUGUUGUAAAUGUUUAAAUACAAAGUUGACACUUACGGUAAAAAUAUGGCGUAAAUUUCAAAAGAUAUGUUCUUUACGUCGUAACUACAAUCCCCUUCCCUUUCAUGAAUGUGACCUACCGAAUUAGACUAUUUACCGGAUUUGUAAUCACAUAAGCAACACGACGGGUGCCACAUAUGGAGCAGGAUCUGCUUACCCUUCCGGAGCACCUGAGUUCACCCCUAGUUUUUGGUGGGGUUCGUGUUGUUUAUUCUUUAGUUUUUUAUGUUGUGUCAUGUGUACUAUUGUUUUUCUGUUUGUCUUUUUCAUUUUUAGCCAUGGCGUUGUCAGUUUGUUUUAGAUUUAUGAGUUUGACUGUCCCUUUGGUAUCUUUCGUUCCUCUUUUCAAAGAUGAGUCCACAAUCCAUUUCUUCGAUGUAGAGUUUUGGAUAGAUUGAUUAAAAAAAAUCACUAUAGUACUAAAACAUUUUUAAAAUUACUACUAUUUGGCCAGAAAUACAUGUUUAUUCACAGUCACCACUACAUGCAUACAAGACAGUGCACGGGAGACCCGAUUUUCCACAUUAACAAUGACCUCGGCAUCCUUUCUUACAUCCACCAUGUACAAGCUUCUGACAAAAUGAUGAGGCCUCAGAAAGAGUUUUUUUUUAAAGGGAUCAUCUUUGUCAUUUCGCCAUCCAUUAUCGCCUGGACUGGGUAGCAUGAGAGCCAAUCCCAAGCUCGUCCCCUAAACACCUGCAUAAGUAUAUUGCACGUUUUACAUGCUUGAAAAGACUAUAGACCAAGAAAUAAAAGAGUAAUAGUUGAGGAAGGUCUAUGCCAAAUUUUAUGCUUGUAGCAGGAUGUGCACAAUUUUUCACUAAGCUGCCGUACUAUAUGUUUCCCCUUUUGUUAUUUACAUUAAUCAAUCAAUGUGCAGGAAAAAAAAUCCUAAAAUAAAAGCCCAAGCGAUAUAACCCAAAAAGAAUAAACAAUCAACCCGAUAAAAGCACAAACUCUAAAACAAAUACGAUCUAGAUAAACGAGAUUUCAAUUUAACUCUUUCUGAAUUGACAGAUAACAAAACCCUGUAUUUGGCCAUAUUAUUUUCAAUAGCUGUUUUAGAAGUAGGAUACAAGUUCAAUGUCUGCUUAUAAAAUCACCUGGGUUACUGUGGACAACAAAGGCAAGUGUAUGUCUUCUUUAAUUUCUUUCAAAAGCACGUUUGUUUGAAUCUCUUCUUUACCUUUAAAAGACAUCAAUGAAUAAAGUUUGUAUCAUGCAAUCUUUUUUGUUUAUUUUCGUUUUUGUCAAAAUAAAGGCAACAGCAGUAUAUCGUUAUUCAUCAAUCGAUUAAGAGAUUUUACGGUUUUAAAUACAAUUGAAGUAUAAAAAAAAGUUAAACAUCUUGGUCUAACUAAGGAGGGUGCACUUUAAAACGAUGAAGUAUAUUUAAAUUGUUCAAAGCACGACACAAUUAAAUAAUAACAUUAUAUAUCAAAUUCUUACUAGUUGUGUAUUUCAAAUUGGAUAAUAACUUUUUUGCGCAAACUAAAAAUUUAUAUAAAUAGAUAAAAUAGAUUUGAGUAUGUGUGGAGGCUAUUACUUAUCUGAAAAGAAUGUUGAAAAGAUAUUACUUGUUUUUUUACACCAAAAGUUAAACACGAGGCUGAAAACAGACUUACAUUCAAUUUCUUUAUUUCCAUAACAUACCACCGAAUCAUAUUGACCGGUACUAGAAAUGAUUGUUUUGAGUCCGUAUACAUACAGAAUGAAGGUUUUUGUUGGAUUAAAACUGCUGUUUAAUGAUAUAGUAAUUUCACCACAAUGAGAGUUGAUAAACAUGUUAGUUGAUGAAAAAUCCGAUGUAUCCACCAAUACGAUAAACACAACAUCAAACAGAAAACAGAUAGGACAGCUUAUUUUCAAAUCAAUUAAAUGCUGAGCCUUGUCUUCCAGCUUAACAGACCAACACCAUGAUGGAAUCUAGAAAAUAUAAAUACGCUGAUUGAUAUUAAAGUCGUAUAAAUACGCUGAUAAAACAGAGAUUGUUUUACAUUGUUGAUUUGCUAAGUUAUUUACUAUAAACAGGUGUUCAUGGACCUCUGUUUUAGCUGAUUUUUCUUUAACAAAAUAUAAUGAAAUGAACUGCCAUUGAACUUUUUUCUUCUUAUCUGGAAUUCGCCAAUAGCUUUUCCAAAUGCAGUGAACCUAACCACAAAACCUCUUAUUUUAACUUCGACAACGACACAGCACAUAUGUGAGUGAAAAGCCGCGACGAUAUAAAAGGUACACAAAUGUGCUAUAACAUGUUUAAUUUCACUUUACAUGUAACACGGAGUUCUAAGACAUUAUAUAAAUUUUGAUAUGAGAGUACAAUUAUGACCACAUCAAAUGGAAAGUAUGCAUACCUCGUUGGAAAAUAUGCAUGUAUCAUAUUAUAUUAUAUAAGUUUUUCUUGCAUGGAAAGGGGGUGGAUGGAAGUUUCGUAUUCUCCGUAUAGUAGUCUACAAGGGUAGCUUUUGCAGUUCUAUCUAUAAUUUGUUUUGGAUGAAAUGGCCGUCGCUUUCAGGAGCUUUGACAAGUUGUAAACUAUAGUUUCGUCUGACUGAGAAGAGAGCAUCUUCGUACGUUCUGCAUUGCUUAGUAAUAAAGAUUUACCCAAACUAGUAGACAUGUUUAGAUUUUUAAUCUAAGAAGCCGUAAAACUUACACACGUAAAUCAAGAUUUUUUGUUUAUUGAAAGCUGUAUAUUAUUACAAUAUUUAGGGAAGUGAAAAAAGAGUGAGAAUCGCGGUUCAUAUUAAAUUAUAAAAGUUCAACAGAUACUUUAAAAUAUUUUUAUAUAAGCAAUAGCAUAUCUUAAUAAUAUAAGUCUAAACUAUUUUAUUUGUCCCAUUUUAAACCGUUUAGCCACUCUGAUAGACGAUAAGAAAUCAGUAAUGAUAAUCACGGUGGUAUGUCCUGCGAGAACUGUGCUGGUGAUUUGGUCCUGACGGGUGCUGGUGGGUCCUGAUUCUGUGCUGGUGGGUUUGUUUACAUUGUAUCAGAACGGCAAUAAAACGACUGUUUUGUUGCUUAAUUUUUCUCUGAUGCGUCAUAAGUACCAUGCAAAGUAUAUUUCAACAAUAUAAAAUUGCAAAAGUCGUGCAAGUUCGUUAAACGGAAUUGUCCUGACGAUGUGCUGGUGAUAAGAAAAACGGUCCUGGUUCUGUGCUCCUAUGUCCUGGUUCUGUGCCUUUAUAUUUUAGUUAAAAGUGGCAAAUAUUCAAGAUCAUUGAUGCUGUACUGUUAUUGACUACUAGUAAUUAACUGUUGUCUGCUUUCUUGAAAUUGACAUUGUUAUGAAUCUGUUUACUGUUAUUAUGAGAGAAAAAAAAACCCUAUUUUUUAUUCUUUUUAAAAUUAACUGUGAUUUUAUUUAUUGGCCUGUUAAUGGAACCCUUCUUGCCCCCUUUUAAGAUAAGAAAAUAUGUUUACGAUUUUCGGGAUUACGAUCAUUUUGCAAGAUCGCCAAAAUACGUUGUAAUUUAUACAAUACUUAUAUAAAGUAGAUGAUGUUGUAUGUUUGUUGUCAAUGGACAAAUUUCCAUAAGAAACCAAAGAAAGUAUGUGUUAACAACCAUACGUCAUUGUACGACCUUCAACAAUAACCCAUAAAAUAAAAAUGUAAAAGGUUUUGUAUAAAAAUGGAGAGCAAAAAUAUAGAAGAAAGGACUUUCUGAGCGUUUGAAUCAUAUGUCUUUAGCAGCUUAAAACACAUUUGUUUGUGAAAAAUUGAGUGCUGACUAUAAGAAUGACAAUAGUAUUGCGGGUUUGUUUGUUUGGUUUUUUUUGGGGGGAUGGGGGGGGGGAUAAGUUAGAGCGAGGUUACAGUGAAAGUGUUAAGCUUGGAAUAGUUUCCCGUAAGAUUUAAAAGUUGUAUUUUAAAAGAAAAAUGUAUCUUACAGCUAUUAAGAAUCACUUGCUGUAUCUGUAAGAUUUUUUCAACAUAUUUUUUUUUGUCUGAACGGUUAUCAGGUAUUUUUUUUCGAAAGUUCGAUAGAACACUAAAAAAAUCACUAUUUUAUGAAAGGGCAGACUAGAAUAUGUCAGAGAAUAUGUCAGAGAAUGAAGACGAGAUAACCUAGAGAACAUUAACAAAACUAAGAUUUCUUAGCUUUUUCAUUUCAAAAUUCCAAAAUAAAUAAAUAUUUUUGAUAAAGAAUUACAGGGGAGGAAGUGAACAAUGUGUCCUACUUUUCUAUAUUUAAAUAUUUUUAUGAAUAAAAAUCAAAUGUGCCUUAAUUAUGAUUGAAAAUGAGUAAAUGGAAAAACUACCAAACUAAAAUACACUUUUUAUUUUAAUAUUGGUAAUAUCACUAAGCUUUUAAGUUUUGUGUGUCAAACACACCAUCUCUGUAGUAAUGACUCCUUAUUAAGAUAUUUCACAUCUCCAUUUUUUUUCUGCAUUUUUUAUAUUUGUGAAUUCUUAGUAUUAUUAUAUUAAAAUGUAGACUUAAUUUAUAUUUAAAAAAAACUGAAUCUAAAGCCAGAUAAAUCAAACAUUUUUGUUUCUAUCUAUCCGUUUUCAGGACUUUAACAAUCAACGUAAACACGCCUGGAAAGUAAAAUGCGUACUCGGCUGUCUGUAAUCGACCAUUUUUAGACACCCUCCUAAAAAACAAGCCGGGGUGGGGUUCAGAGAUGCAAAUUAAGUACUUAGAUCAAUAUUUUAUAUUUUCGUGUAUGGUUUAUCACCCCCUCCUGUGGCCUGUCAAUUACGAAAAUGUGCAAACUGCAAUAGUAUCAAAACAGCACAGACAAUGAAUAAUAGAGAUAUAAUUUUGUACAUAUACAUGUAUCAAGGGAUAAUAGAGAUAUAAUUUUGUACAUAUACAUGUAUCAAGGGGAAACUUCUUGCAAAGCAUUAUUAUUUAUAGUUCAUUAUUGUAUUUAGUAGAAAAAGAGAAUUUGGUGAAAAUAAAAUCACUAUUUUUGUAGAAAAUUCACAGACCUUUGUACAGAGAAUUUUUGUUAUGUUUAGCAUGGGAUCAACACAAGGGUACAUUAUCCUUAAAAAUCUAUUUAAAAGUAUUUGAAACUAACGUUUGCUUUGUUAAUUGUGCCUUCAAUUUCAAAAAUUAAAAUAUCUCGUAACUUCAUACUACCAAUUGAGUAUAAAACAAGUAAAUAAGUUUAAAAAAGAAAUUCUUAGAUUAAACACCUAGAUUUAACUUUAAAAAGUCAUAACAGUUUAAAACAAUACAAAUCUACACACACAAAUAACUGGCUUAAUUUCAACUGAUUUUCAACCCGAAUCGCUAUAAGAUCAUAUAUAAGCUCAACUGUGUCGAGGGAUCGUGUGAGGUUCAUUUAUUGUCUUGGCGUCCGUAUUACAAUGACCAAAUGUUACCAAAUGAUUUUUUCAAGAGUGAAUCUAGGAAAAACAAUAUUCAUCAACAAACCAGACCACUGUCUGUUAAAAUGUAUUCGAGUUUUUAGUUACAGCCGAUUCCAUUGAGUAUGUAGGCAAAUGUUAUAUCUUUGGUUAGCUUGCUUGUUAGCUAAACCGUGAAGUCAUUGUUAGGUAAGGUCUAUACCCUCCUUUCGAAUUAGCCUGGUCCUACAGACAGAAAGAUGUGUCAUUUGUCGGACUAGUCUACUCUUAAAGUAGGGUAGUUUACAUAACCUAACAAUGACUUUUCUGUUCAGCAAGCAAGAUAACCAAAGAUAUUCCCUUUGUCUACACACUCAUUGAAAUCGGCUUUAAUAUUGCAAAUGUUCAAGCAAUUAGGGCAAAACUUACCGAGUAAAAAAAAUCAAAAUGUCUAUCUACCUUGCACAUUUCAGAAAAUUCAGAUCAGAUAACGAAACUGGGUCCAGCAACAUUUAUAAGCAAUUUAAGAUUUUGACCCUCACAGUUUCCAUUCACCACAAAUAUUCUCGUUACAACGAAUCAAAUACCAGUUGCAGCCUUUUGUUUAUCUAUUAAUAUAUGUAUACGGAUAAAGUUAUGAAAGGCAGCAGGGUCACCAGGGUGAGGAGUCCAUGUCAUCUGAAAUAAAUGCUAAGCAUAGAUCUAGAAAGCGGCAGAUAAUCAUGGCAUUAAAAAAAACUCUCUUCUUUUCGACUUUUUUCGAACAAAUUGACACAUAAAAUGAAUUAUAUAGUAUUUUGGAAUUUUUAACUUGUGUUCAAUUCAUUGGUUACACCUUUUACUAGGAUAACAGUCCUGUCAAGUAUGAGCUGGGUAAAAUAUUUUCAGAAAAGAAGAUGGAAAUGUGAAAGUUUCCGUGCGUCAGGUGCAACAGCAUACGAACAGCUAACAUGUCUCGUCAGGGUGGAAGCUAAAAAGUCCACGAAAAUUUGAUUUAAAACCUUUAUUCGUUCCAACAAAGAUAUUGUGAUUUUGUUGAGGAUUUAACCAUCUACGACAACAAAAUUUCUUUUUUUUUUAGAAUUUACAGCUCUUCUAUAAAUAUAUGCAAAGCAAACCAUUGAUUAAAUUGCUUGCUAUGAUUGUUUGGAUGUUUGUAAACGACAGGUAAGUAGUCUGUUUACUAUAUACUACAAUUUGUUUGGAAAAUAAACAUUAACUUCAAUUCCUGUCAGUUUGUAUUUGUCCAAUCAAAUCCCAGUAUGUAUUGAAACUCCGCCUACCUAUUGUUUGAAAACAUCCAAGCAAACAUAGCAAGCAAGUCAAUCAAAGUUUUUUUUUGCAUGCUUUUAUAGAAGAGCUGUACUAUAUAAUGCAAGGAAGCGUUUAAGUCUUUCGCCAAAAAAUACUAUCAAUUUCUUUUUGUCCUAUGUAAACUUCCGUACCAUUUCCUUCCAUUCAUGAUCAUUAAAUUGAACUGUAAAAUAUUGCUUGGUACCUUCUUAAUUCCUUUAUGAGUCUUAUGUAAACAUAAUUAUGACAAUAACUGUUGUGAGAACAAGAUUCACUGCACACUUUUAAAGUUCUGCUUCAUCAAACAUUAAAAUGUGAACUUAAGUUUUGAGACUUUUUUAAUCUACACGAUUGGAUUUUUGUAUUUGAGAACAUGGUUUAUCUAUUAGUUGAAAAUGUUGCUAAAAUGCUAGCUUGAACUAACUAACUUUCAGUACCUGCAAGCAUUCGUUAUUCAAUAAUGUGUGUCUUUGUGUUAUUAUUUUAUGUAAUAAAUUGUUGUGUUGAUACACCACUGUAACAAUGAAGGAGGAAAUGAGGAGGGUUGGUUGGGUGGAAGUGGGGAGGGGUAUGCGGAGCGCUAACAAACAUGUCUAUGCGGCAUUGGCUUUGAUCAUUGUUGAAGCAUCAAUGUAAGGGGCAUUUAAAAUAUCUUAAUAAAACUAUUCUUAUUUUAGAUACUAUAUAUUGUUAUCUGAUAUUGGACGAAAGAUGUUGCCCUUUUAUGUAAUUAUUUAAUACAAGUUACGAUCAUUUCAAAACACAUAUUAAACAGCCAAAUGGAUGCACAAGAGCUAAAAUAGGAGUCAUAGAUCCUAUUGACAACAAUUAUCUGCCCAAUAUUAUUGAUUUUGUAACAUUUGUUUCAAAUAUGACCAACUUCUUAUCCAAAAUCACCAGCACCGUAUCAGGACCCACCAGCACAAUGACAGGACCCACCAGCACAGUAUCAGGACAUGAAUAAAUUGAGAAAAUGCUAAAUUUUAAUACUAAUUUAAAUUGCAAUGUUUUUUCACAAAAUAGUUUUGUCGCGUGGAUUGCGGUAUAGAAAGCGGACUCUAUGAGCAUUUUUGUUUUAUUUUUUCAGUUCGAGAUUUUCUGAAAAUGAGCAUUUCUGUGUUACGCUUACUGAAAAAGUUUAGAGGGUCAACUUUUUAAUGGUUUACAUAUGAACCCAUAAGAAACAAAAUUGAAAAAUCUCAACCGUUUUCUUCCAUUUUUUAUGAGUGAAAACGUCAAAAAUCAUUGUUUUCGUCUUUGUUUACAUUUUUUCAUUGAUCACCAGCACCCGUCAGGACCAAAUCACCAGCACAGUACGUUCUCUCGCAGGACAACCAUACCCACCGUGAUAAUUAUACCUGCAAAUGGUAGGAAUUACGUAAGAAACAAGAUAAGUUGGAAAAGUGUAUAUUGUCAAAGUGUUCUAAAUCGCAUGACAUUUCACAUGACAUGCACAAAUACAAUAUAAUCUGAUCAUUUUAAAAGAUAAAACAGCAGGAUUAAUAGUUAUAUAUUGUUACCCCAGAUAAAUAUAUACAUUUAAUACAUUAUCGAAGGUUAACUUUGUUUGAUGAAUGUUCAACCUAUGUUUGAUUUAAAUACAGAACUGUUCAGUUGAAAUUUAUUGAAGUAUAUGUAAUUAAACAUGAUACCUGUUAAUCUUUUACCUUAUUAGAUUGGAUAUUCAAGCUGCACAAAUUUGAGUGUAAGUUAAUAAAAAAUAUUUAAAUUCAAACUAAUUUAAUUAAAAUAUUAUAAAUUUGUUUUACAGCAGUAAUUUAACAGUUUAAAAAAAGAAAAAAACAAUGCUCGACUUUCUAAGUGCGCUUCCUAUGCCAUCUUCUCUUCAAACAACUACUUAAACCCUUUUCAGUCCUGAUUAAAAUGUUGGAUUUUUGUAUACUGGUUGUGCACAUCAUUUUACACUACACUUAACGGUAACCUAAAGAUAUCAAGACAGACAAACAUAAAAAGUAGAAUAUUUAUUGUAGCAAUGCUGUAGUAUUCUAUCAUGAUACUUCUUAAAGGGACAGUAUUUUAAACAGUAUCAAUUACCACUUAUAACAGGUGUCUGGUCUUUUCUCUGUGUAACGUUCAAUAAAAACAUUUUAUAAUUUUGUUUUUCUAUCAAACAGUUUUUUUUUUACAAGAAAUCCAGAUUUUACUAGUUUGAUUAUUUCCUUAUUUGAACAUUUUACAUUUAAAAAUUGUAAAAAUUAUCACAAAUUAGUAUUUGCAUUAAUUAUGUAACAUGUAACAAUAUUACUUACUUCUUUUAAAGCAUCCAUUUUUGGAAACAAAAAUGUAUUGAUUAAAUUUCUUGUUGUACACAUACAACAAGAUAUGUGAUAACAAGUUAUUUAAAGUUCCUUGAACGUAUGAAAGUUUUAAAUGUAUGUCACGUGUUUUUAAAAUGUAUAAUCUAAUAUGCACCGAUUAUCAGGAUGAAUUUGCAUAUUGUUCAUGAUGCAAACAAAAGUUUUCUUUGUUUCACAAGAAAACUUGAAGAUGACUUGAUUAGGUUGUAUCAAACUAUUCAUUAUGACGUCGGUUAUAUAUCCGGGGCAAAGUUAUUAAUAAAUGUCAACGUAUUUGACGAUAAAAAUAUCAUGAAUUGCAAAAUCUAAAACUUCACACCACAACCCUACUGAUAUUAAACGAUAUUGAAAUAACAAAUGUUUGAAUUUUUAAGUUAUUAUUUUCAUGAAUAUACCUCAAAUGUAUAUUUCCAAAAUUCAUUUACCGCGAAACUAUUUUGCAUGUGUCUUAACAAAGGCAGAACAUGUAAAAUACGAAGCAGGCCAAUUUACUUUUUUACCAACAGACACUAAUUUAAUUAUGUUUGUUCCAGUUUGUUAAUGUUGUUUGUUUACCAACCACAUCUCUUUGCGGAAUACUAUUCCGUAGACACUUUAUGGUUCCUGGAUUUAAUUCCCAUGAUAAACCUCCUAGAGAUACAAUAUGAAAGUAACAAUACAUAACUUUGAUGCAUCCGAAGUGCUUUUGUGCAAUAUGAUAAUUUUGCAUGUAUUCUCGGAUGAAUGUGAAAAUAUUAAUAAGAAAACAAUCAGAGAAAAAAAGGACUAAACCAAUGAUUACAUUUAAAAAAUCGAGUAAGAAUAAAAAUCAAGCAAAAUCCACAAACUGAGGGAACCGCAUGAACUCCAAAAGGAGCGAGACUGGGUACGUCGAUACUGUGUAUACUCUUAUUUAUUGAUCACACAUUAUGAAAAAUAAUAUAAACGGUACUAAAGUACAAACGGAAACCAAACCUUUUGUAUGAGUUUUAAAUUCGUAGGAAAUAAUGACAAGUAAAUUGGGGAAAAGUAGCAGUACCUUAUUUUUUACAUUUGAAAAUAUUUCUGAUAAUAGAUUUUUUCUUUGAGAAACAGAUGUUUCUUCAAAUAUCACCGCACAAAUGUUCAAGUGUUUCCUACUGAAAAAAGUAAAAUCACAAAAUUACUGAACCCCGAGGAAAAUUCAAUCGGAAAGUCCCUAAUCACAUGGCAAAAUCAAAUGACAUAACACUUCAAACGAAUGUCAUAUUCCUGACUUGGUACAGGCAUUUUCAAAUGUAGAAAAUAGUGGAUUGAACCUGAAUUACAGACGAAUUGACAAAUUGAUUCGUAUCUGCAAGACAACGUUGGACAAGUACACCUCGAUAUAUUGAUUAGUCCUUCGAUGCUCGUAGUGAAAACAUGCGAGGUGAAGACUAAGUAAACAUUCUUGUCAUUCUAUGCGUCAUUAAUUUAUUUUAUUACUAUGCAAACCUGAAUAAGUAUACUUUUCAUGUGAUUUUAUUCUUCUUUCAAGUGAGUGCUUGUGACAACUUGUUAGUUACUAGUAUAUAAACGGAGGAUGAACACAUUUAACGUGUUUUGCAUAUAUAUUAUUUUUGAUAAUGUAUGUGAUGAAAUUACAACCAUAAUUCUCUGCUAGACACACUUACAUAUUUUAAUUUUAAUUCUGUUAAACUGAUGAACUCAAUACUAGUACUUGUUUGCCCAAUUCGUAUUAUUUGAUGUUAAAAAAAAAUCCACAUAUGCAAACUUGAAAAUUAAGUAAUCUCUGACAGUAAUGAAAAUUCUUCAAUCUCUUUAAUAUUAUGGUAUGUUGUCUUGUGCAGUGAACAUUCCUAUUUUCACAUAUUGGGUCUUCAAUGCUCUUCAACUAUAUACUUGUUUGGCUUUUGCACUGAGCGUCACUAAUGAGUAUUAUGCAAAUAAAACGCGCGUCUAACGUAUCAAAUUAUAAGCCUGGUAACUUUGAUAUCUAAUAUUGUAUAUUUAUCAUACCCUAUGGUUAUGGCAAAAAGACUAAAUUCUAAAACACUUCGAAUUUAUAAACAUAUGAGGAAUACACAUUUAUUCCAAGUUCAAUUCAAUACAGGUGUAAUAGAUGCAAUUUAUAGGAUAUUAGUUUGAUCAAAUAGUAAACUUUAUAAAAUACACUUUCUGAUCACAUACUAUAAAUGAAAAAAAACAUAAAGCAAUGAAUCUUAUCCACAUCUUCUUACUUUUAUAUAAAUUAAAUAAUAUCGGAAACCGAUUAAAAGAUAGACAAUAGAGUUUAGCCAGUGACCGUUCGACAAUGAGUAUGAUACGAUGAAUUCUAUAUGGUUUCAUAAUAUUUAUAAUGAAAUAAAAAAUCAAUUUAAUGAAAUGUAUUAAAUCAUAUAAAGACACACGAGUACAUUGAGGAAUUCAUAUUAUUUUUUUAAGAUAUGUAAUUUAAACUUAUACGUAGUAUAUAUUUCAUAAAACGUCAUUAUUGUAUGAACUUAUUUCAGACUUUGAAAAUACAACAUGUUUAGUUAAAAGAAAAUAAGAUAUUGAGUAUAUUCCAUCAAUGACAUUUGUUCUGUUUGAGAAGCUGAAUCGCCAAAUUUUAUUAUUAAAUGCGUAUAUUCAACUUCAUAUAUAUGUAUGAAUGGAUGCUUUAUAUAAAAAAAACCACUUUUGAACAAUCACAUAUGGAAAUUCAAUUACAGCUCUUUUCACAAUGCUAGCAAGACUGUAAUAUUUAAUUUGUUACAUGCCCAUAACUUAAGCAAACCGAUUGACAGCCAUCCAAGCGUACGCACAACCUAAGCAUGCAGAAGAUAAUAAAAGAAAAUUAUAUGACUAUUUUAAGUUACAGAUGUUACAAUCAGGGUUUUUAGGAGUACCAGAAGGCUUAGCAAACCCUUUCCCAAUAGUUGGUGUUUCUUCUAUAUAUCCAUACUUCAACUCUAAAGCUCUUUUCACAUUAAUGAUUUCAGUAUAAAACACUUCAACAGUGACAUCCAUAUUUGCAAAAACAGUGAAUGCACCAUUACAUUCUACUCGUAAACACAAAUAUGGAUUAUGAAAAAUGUUUAAUUCUUUCAAAUACUGUCGACAAAAGUUGUUACAAGCUGAUGUUUUUGGCACCAGAAUGAUUGUCACAUGAUGACGUUUAUAAUGACAGUAAAAGUCGGCAAAAUACAAAUUACACUGAGGAUUGAACAUUAUCAAAGAUUUGAGAUACAAUCUGAUUGGUCCAUAGUAAGAGCAGGGACUUGGGUUGUUCGUCGUUGUAUCAAUAUAUGAACUGAAAAAUAAACCAGAUAACCGUCCAUUAACAACCGAACCCUGUUCUCCACCAUUGCUUUUCAGAUAUGGAAGCAUUACUCCAUUUAUAUAUUUCAUGAUUACAUGAAAAUACUCCACUGAUUUAUUCCUAUAAAAGAAUUGGAUAGGUCGCAUACUAGGAAUACAUUUCCUUGUCCCAAAAGCUAUAGCUUGAUUAUAUAAUCGAU